UACAGAGGGGGCGAGCGUUGUUCGGAAUUACUGGGCGUAAAGAGCUCGUAGGUGGUUUGUCACGUUGUUCGUGAAAACCCACAGCUCAACUGUGGGCGUGCGAGCGAUACGGGCAGACUAGAGUACUGCAGGGGAGACUGGAAUUCCUGGUGUAGCGGUGGAAUGCGCAGAUAUCAGGAGGAACACCGGUGGCGAAGGCGGGUCUCUGGGCAGUAACUGACGCUGAGGAGCGAAAGCGUGGGGAGCGAACAGG
rnacentral:rRNA from 1 species